rnacentral:rRNA from 1 species
CGGCCUACCAAGGCGGCAACGGGUACCGGGCGCGAGAGCGUGACCCGGCACAUCGGAACUGAGACACGGUCCGGACACCUACGGGUGGCUGCAGCAACGAAUAUUCCGCAAUGGACGAAAGUCUGACGGAGCGACGCCGCGUGCAGGAAGAAGUCCCUCGGGAUGUAAACUGCUGUCAGGGGUUAGGAAUACUGACCAGCCCCAGAGGAAGCACUGGCUAACUCCGUGCCAGCAGCCGCGGUAAUACGGAGAGUGCGAGCGUUGUUCGGAAUUAUUGGGCUUAAAGGGCGUGUAGGCGGAAUGCCAGGUGCUGUGUGAAAGCCCCGGGCUCGACCCGGGAAUUGCAUAGCAAACCGGCAUUCUUGAGGCAGGUAGAGGUGACUGGAACGACUGGUGGAGCGGUGAAAUGCGUAGAUAUCAGUUGGAACGCCAGCGGCGAAAGCGGGUCACUGGGCCUGUCCUGACGCUGAGACGCGAAAGCGUGGGGAGCGAACAGGAUUAGAUACCCUGGUAGUCCACGCCGUAAACGAUGCGCACUAGGUAUGAGAGGUUUUGACGCCGAUUGUGCCGAAGCAAAAGUGGUAAGUGCGCCGCCUGGGGAGUACGGCCGCAAGGCUAAAACUCAAAGGAAUUGACGGGGGCUCACACAAGCGGUGGAGCAUGUGGAUUAAUUCGACGCGAAGAACCUUACCUGGGUUUGACAUGCACGGAUGCCCUCUUGGAGACAGGAGUAAGCUGCCUUCGGGUGAAACGUGCACAGGUGCUGCACGGCUGUCGUCAGCUCGUGCUGUGAAGUGUCGGGUUAAGUCCCUUAACGAGCGAAACCCCUAUCGUUAGUUGCCAGCGGGUUAUGCCGGGAACUCUAGCGAGACCGCCGACGUCAAGUCGGAGGAAGGUGGGGACGACGUCAAGUCAUCAUGGCCCUUAUGCCCAGGGUGUCGCACGUGCUACAAUGGCCAAUACAGAGCGACGCGAGACCGCGAGGUGGAGCAAAUCGCAGAAAGUUGGCCCCAGUUCGGAUUGGAGUCUGCAACUCGACUCCAUGAAGUCGGAAUCGCUAGUAAUCGCGCAUCAGCCAUGGCGCGGUGAAUAUGUUCCUGAGCCUUGUACACACCGCCCGUCAAGUCAUGGAAGUUGGGAGUACCCGAAGUCCGUUUGUUAACCCGUAAGGGAGGCGGCGGCCGACGGUAAGCUCGAUGACUGGGACUAAGUCGUAACAAGGUA